rnacentral:rRNA from 1 species
GUCGAACGGCAGCACGGCAGUAGCAAUACUGUGGGUGGCGAGUGGCGGACGGGUGAGGAAUACAUCGGGAUCUACCCUGUUGUGGGGGAUAACGUAGGGAAACUUACGCUAAUACCGCAUAAGAACUGAGGUUGAAAGCGGCGGACCGCAAGGCGUCGCGCGAUUGGAUGAACCGAUGUCCGAUUAGCUAGUUGGCGGGGUAAAGGCCCACCAAGGCGACGAUCGGUAGCUGGUCUGAGAGGACGACCAGCCACACUGGAACUGAGACACGGUCCAGACUCCUACGGGAGGCAGCAGUGGGGAAUAUUGGACAAUGGGCGCAAGCCUGAUCCAGCCAUGCCGCGUGGGUGAAGAAGGCCUUCGGGUUGUAAAGCCCUUUUGUCCGGAAAGAAAAGCUCGUGGUUAAUACCCGCGGGUUCUGACGGUACCGGAAGAAUAAGCACCGGCUAACUUCGUGCCAGCAGCCGCGGUAAUACGAAGGGUGCAAGCGUUACUCGGAAUUACUGGGCGUAAAGCGUGCGUAGGUGGUGCGUUAAGUCUGUCGUGAAAUCCCCGGGCUCAACCUGGGAAUGGCGAUGGAUACUGGCGCGCUAGAGUGCGGUAGAGGAGAGUGGAAUUCCCGGUGUAGCAGUGAAAUGCGUAGAGAUCGGGAGGAACAUCAGUUGCGAAGGCGGCUCUCUGGACCAGCACUGACACUGAG